rnacentral:rRNA from 1 species
UUUACGGAGAGUUUGAUCCUGGCUCAGGACGAACGCUGGCGGCGUGCCUAACACAUGCAAGUCGAACGGGGUUUGCAAAGAAGCUUGCUUUUUUGUAAACCUAGUGGCGGACGGGUGAGUAACGCGUGGAUAACCUGCCUGUAAGACUGGGAUAACACCGGGAAACCGGUGCUAAUACCGGGCGUGCUGUAGAAUGGGCAUCCAUUUUACAGGGAAGGACUUUAAGUCUGCUUACAGAUGGGUCCGCGUCCCAUUAGCUAGCUGGUGGGGUAAAAGCCUACCAGGGCGACGAUGGGUAGCCGGCCUGAGAGGGUGGUCGGCCACACUGGGACUGAGACACG